GGAGAGAUGUCCGAGUGGUUGAAGGAGCACGCUUGGAAAGCGUGUGUACGAGAAAUCGUACCAAGGGUUCGAAUCCCUUUCUCUCCG
rnacentral:tRNA from 1 species